rnacentral:rRNA from 2 species
UUCGCUGACGAGUGGCGGACGGGUGAGUAAUGCUUGGGAACUUGCCUUUGCGAGGGGGAUAACAGUUGGAAACGACUGCUAAUACCGCAUAAUGUCUACGGACCAAACGGGGCUUAGGCUCCGGCGCAAAGAGAGGCCCAAGUGAGAUUAGCUAGUUGGUAAGGUAAAGGCUUACCAAGGCAACGAUCUCUAGCUGUUCUGAGAGGAAGAUCAGCCACACUGGAACUGAGACACGGUCCAGACUCCUACGGGAGGCAGCAGUGGGGAAUAUUGCACAAUGGGGGAAACCCUGAUGCAGCCAUGCCGCGUGUGUGAAGAAGGCCUUCGGGUUGUAAAGCACUUUCAGUUGUGAGGAAAAGUUAGUAGUUAAUACCUGCUAGCCGUGACGUUAACAACAGAAGAAGCACCGGCUAACUCCGUGCCAGCAGCCGCGGUAAUACGGAGGGUGCGAGCGUUAAUCGGAAUUACUGGGCGUAAAGCGCACGCAGGCGGUUUGUUAAGCUAGAUGUGAAAGCCCCGGGCUCAACCUGGGAUGGUCAUUUAGAACUGGCAGACUAGAGUCUUGGAGAGGGGAGUGGAAUUCCAGGUGUAGCGGUGAAAUGCGUAGAUAUCUGGAGGAACAUCAGUGGCGAAGGCGACUCCCUGGCCAAAGACUGACGCUCAUGUGCGAAAGUGUGGGUAGCGAACAGGAUUAGAUACCCUGGUAGUCCACACCGUAAACGCUGUCUACUAGCUGUUUGUGACUUUAAGUCGUGAGUAGCGAAGCUAACGCGCUAAGUAGACCGCCUGGGGAGUACGGCCGCAAGGUUAAAACUCAAAUGAAUUGACGGGGGCCCGCACAAGCGGUGGAGCAU